UAGGGAAUCUUCCACAAUGGGCGAAAGCCUGAUGGAGCAACGCCGCGUGUGUGAUGAAGGGUUUCGGCUCGUAAAACACUGUUGUAAGAGAAGAACAUAUCUGAGAGUAACUGUUCAGGUAUUGACGGUAUUUAACCAGAAAGCCACGGCUAACUACGUGCCAC
rnacentral:rRNA from 1 species